GACGAACGCUGGCGGCGUGCUUAACACAUGCAAGUCGAACGGAAAGGCCCUGCUUUUGUGGGGUGCUCGAGUGGCGAACGGGUGAGUAACACGUGAGUAACCUGCCCUUGACUUUGGGAUAACUUCAGGAAACUGGGGCUAAUACCGGAUAGGAGCUCCUGCUGCAUGGUGGGGGUUGGAAAGUUUCGGCGGUUGGGGAUGGACUCGCGGCUUAUCGGCUUGUUGGUGGGGUAGUGGCUUACCAAGGCUUUGACGGGUAGCCGGCCUGAGAGGGUGAACGGCCACAUGGGGACUGAGAGACGGCCCAGACUCCUACGGGAGGCAGCAGUGGGGAAUAUGGCACAAUGGGCGGAAGCCUGAGGCAGCAACGCCGCGGGCGGGAUGACGGCCUUCGGGUUGUAAACAGCUUUAGCCUGUGACGAAGCGGGAGUGACGGUAAUGGGUAAAGAAGCACCGGCUAACUACGUG
rnacentral:rRNA from 1 species